UUUUNCUUCCAAUCGNCCGCCCACUUCGACGGUCCUCCCCUUACGGGUUAGCCACCGGCUUCGGGUGUUACCGACUUUCGUGACGUGACGGGCGGUGUGUACAAGGCCCGGGAACGUAUUCACCGCAGCAUGCUGAUCUGCGAUUACUAGCAACUCCAACUUCAUGGGGUCGAGUUGCAGACCCCNAUCCGAACUGAGGCCGGCUUUUUGGGAUUCGCUCCGCCUCACGG
rnacentral:rRNA from 2 species